GCAAGAUUAAAACUCAAAGGAAUAGACGGGGACCCGCACAAGUGGUGGAGCAUGUGGUUUAAUUUGAAGAUACGCGAAGAACCUUACCUAGCCUUGACAUUGAUAGAAUCUUCCAGAGAUGGAGGAGUGCCUUUCGGGGAACUUGAAAACAGGUGCUGCACGGCUGUCGUCAGCUCGUGUCGUGAGAUGUUGGGUUAAGUCCCGCAACGAGCGCAACCCUCGUCACUAGUUACUAACAGUUAGGCUGAGGACUCUAGUGAGACUGCCUUCGUAAGGAGGAGGAAGGUGAGGACGACGUCAAGUCAUCAUGGCCCUUACGGCUAGGGCAACACACGUGCUACAAUGGUUAGGACAGUGAGAAGCGAUACCGCGAGGUGGAGCCAAUCUAUAAACCUAAUCUCAGUUCGGAUUGUAGUCUGCAACUCGACUACAUGAAGCUGGAAUCACUAGUAAUCGUAGAUCAGCUAUGCUACGGUGAAUACGUUCCCGGGUCUUGUACUCACCGCCCGUCACACCAUGGGAGUUGAUUUCACCCGAAGCGGGGAAGCUAAACUGGCUACCCUCCACGGUGGAAUUAGCGACUGGGGUGAA
rnacentral:rRNA from 1 species